rnacentral:rRNA from 1 species
UUGACCUCGGAUCAGGUAGGGAUACCCGCUGAACUUAAGCAUAUCAAUAAGCGGAGGAAAAGAAACCAACAGGGAUUGCCUUAGUAACGGCGAGUGAAGCGGCAAUAGCUCAAAUUUGAAAGCUGGCGUCUUCGACGUCCGCGUUGUAAUUUGUAGAGGAUGCUUCGGCGAAGACUCCUGCCUAAGUCCCCUGGAACGGGGCGUCAUAGAGGGUGAGAAUCCCGUAUGUGGCGGGCAGUCUAAGCCAUGUGAAGCUCCUUCGACGAGUCGAGUUGUUUGGGAAUGCAGCUCUAAAUGGGAGGUAAAUUUCUUCUAAAGCUAAAUAUUGGCCAGAGACCGAUAGCGCACAAGUAGAGUGAUCGAAAGAUGAAAAGCACUUUGGAAAGAGAGUUAAAAAGUACGUGAAAUUGUUGAAAGGGAAGCGCUUGCAACCAGACUCGCUCGUAGUUGCUCAGCCGGCCUCUUGGCCGGUGUACUCUUCUACGAUCGGGCCAGCAUCAGUUCGGGCGGCAGGAUAAAGGUGUCGGGAAUGUAGCACCCUUCGGGGUGUGUUAUAGCCCGGCGCGGAAUGCUGCCAGCCUGGACUGAGGAUCUCGCUUCGGCAAGGAUGCUGGCGUAAUGGUUGUAAGCGGCCCGUCUUGAAACACGGACCAAGGAGUCUAACAUCUAUGCGAGUGUUUGGGUGUCAAACCCAUGCGCGUAAUGAAAGUGAACGGAGGUGGGAACCCCUCACGGGGUGCACCAUCGACCGAUCCUGAUGUCUUCGGAUGGAUUUGAGUAAGAGCAUAGCUGUUGGGACCCGAAAGAUGGUGAACUAUGCCUGAAUAGGGUGAAGCCAGAGGAAACUCUGGUGGAGGCUCGCAGCGGUUCUGACGUGCAAAUCGAUCGUCAAAUUUGGGUAUAGGGGCGAAAGACUAAUCGAACCAUCUAGUAGCUGGUUCCUGCCGAAGUUC